UACGUAGGGUGCGAGCGUUAAUCGGAAUUACUGGGCGUAAAGCGUGCGUAGACGGUUAUUUAAGUCAGGUGUGAAAGCCCCGGGCUCAACCUGGGAAUUGCAUUUGAGACUGAAUAGCUAGGGUGCGGAAGAGGGAAGCGGAAUUUCCGGUGUAGCGGUGAAAUGCGUAGAUAUCGGAAGGAACACCAGUGGCGAAGGCGACACGCUGGGCCGUACCUGACACUGAUGCGCGACAGCAUGGGGAGCAAACAGG
rnacentral:rRNA from 1 species